rnacentral:rRNA from 1 species
UACGGAGGGUGCAAGCGUUAUCCGGAUUUACUGGGGUUAAAGGGUGCGCAGGCGGAUAUGUAAGUCAGUGGUGAAAUCUCUAGGCUUAACCUGGAAAUUGCCGUUGAUACUAUAUAUCUUGAAUGUUGUGGAGGUAAGCAGAAUAUGUCAUGUAGCGGUGAAAUGCUUAGAUAUGACAUAGAAUACCUAUUGCGAAGGCAGCUUACUACGCAGAUAUUGACGCUCAUGCACGAAAGCGUGGGGAUCAAACAGG